CCUACGGGUGGCAGCAGUGAGGAAUAUUGGUCAAUGGGCGCAAGCCUGAACCAGCCAAGUAGCGUGCAGGAUGACGGCCCUACGGGUUGUAAACUGCUUUUAUACGGGAAUAAAGUGAGUUACGUGUACCUCUUUGUAUGUACCGUAUGAAUAAGGAUCGGCUAACUCCGUGCCAGCAGCCGCGGUAAUACGGAGGAUCCAAGCGUUAUCCGGAUUUAUUGGGUUUAAAGGGAGCGUAGGCGGUAUGUUAAGUGAGCUGUGAAAUGUCGAGGCUCAACCGCGGAAUUGCAGCGGAUACUGGCGGGCUUGAGGGCAGUGGAGGUAGGCGGAAUUCGUGGUGUAGCGGUGAAAUGCUUAGAGAUGACGAAGAACCCCGAUUGCGAAGGCAGCUUACUACACUGCAACUGACGUUGAUGCUCGAAAGCGUGGGUAUCAAACAGGAUUAGAUACCCGGGUAGUC
rnacentral:rRNA from 1 species